UACGUAGGGUGCGAGCGUUGUCCGGAAUUAUUGGGGCGUAAAGGGCUCGUAGGCGGUUUGUCGCGUCGGGAGUGAAAUCCACUGGCUUAACUGGUGGCUUGCUUUCGAUACGGGCAGACUGGAGGUAUGCAGGGGAGAACGGAAUUCCUGGUGUAGCGGUGAAAUGCGCAGAGUAUCAGGAGGAACACCUAUAGCGAAGGCAGCUUGCUGGGACGACACUGACGCUGAGGCGCGAAAGCGUGGGGAGCGAACAGG
rnacentral:rRNA from 1 species